rnacentral:snRNA from 1 species
GGGCGAUCUGGCUGUGACAUCUGUCACCCAUUGAUCACCAGGGUUGAGUCCAUUGAUCUGGCUGGCUAGGCAGGUGUGCACCACUCCAUAUGCAUCCCUCCUGAAGCUGUGCACUUGGUCGAAGAGGACAACCUGGCCCUGUAGAGAAGCACUCUUCUUCAGUCAAGGGUUUAUAAGUAGCUGCACAAUCCUGCUAGAACCUCCAAACAAGCUCUCAAGGAAACUGAAGAUGAGACCAUGGUUCUCCAUUUUAUCAAGGAUAAAACUU